rnacentral:rRNA from 1 species
AUUGAACGCUGGCGGCAGGCCUAACACAUGCAAGUCGAACGAGUGGCGGACGGGUGAGUAAUGUCUGGGAAACUGCCUGAGGGAGGGGGAAAACUACUGGAAACGGUAUCUAAUACCGCAAUCUCUCGGAUGCCCCCAGAUGGGAUUGGCUAGUAGGUAGGGUAAAGGCGCACCUAGGCGACGAUCACUAGCUGGUCUGAGAGGAUGACCAGCCACACUGGAACUGAGACACGGUCCAGACUCCUACGGGAGGCAGCAGUGGGGAAUAUUGCACAAUGGGCGCAAGCCUGAUGCAGCCAUGCCGCGUGUAUGAAGAAGGCCUUAGGGUUGUAAAGUACUUUCAGCGGGGAGGCGUUACCCGCAGAAGAAGCACCGGCUAACUCCGUGCCAGCAGCCGCGGUAAUUC